UACAGAGGGGGCAAGCGUUGUUCGGAUUUACUGGGCGUAAAGGGUCCGUAGGCGGUUGCAUAAGUCUGGCGUGAAAUCUUCACCGCUCAACGGGAAGAGGCCGCUGGAAACUGCGCAACUUGAGUAUGGUAGAGGCAAGCGGAAUUCCUGGUGUAGCGGUGGAAUGUGUAGAUAUCAGGAAGAACAUCUGUGGCGAAGGCGGCUUGCUGGGCCAUUACUGACGCUGAGGGACGAAAGCGUGGGGAGCAAACGGG
rnacentral:rRNA from 1 species